UUUCGAAUCAUUCACAAUGGGCGAAAGCCUGAUGGUGCGACGCCGCGUGAGGGAUGAAGGCCUUCGGGUUGUAAACCUCUGUCACCGGGGAAGAAACGCUUUGAGUUAAUAGUUCAAAGCCUGACUUAACCCGGAGAGGAAGCAGUGGCUAACUCUGUGCCAGCAGCCGCGGUAAUACAGAGACUGCAAGCGUUAUUCGGAUUCACUGGGCGUAAAGGGUGCGCAGGCGGCCAAGUGUGUUAGGCGUGAAAGCCCGGGGCUUAACCCCGGAAUUGCACCUAAAACUACAUGGCUAGAGCAUUGGAGAGGGUAGCGGAAUUCACGGUGUAGCAGUGAAAUGCGUAGAUAUCGUGAGGAACACCAGAGGCGAAGGCGGCUACCUGGACAAUUGCUGACGCUCAGGCACGAAAGCGUGGGGAGCAAAAG
rnacentral:rRNA from 1 species